UACGUAGGUGGCGAGCGUUAUCCGGAAUUACUGGGCGUAAAGGGCACGCAGGCGGCCUAUCAAGUCUGACGUGAAAGCUCCUGGCUUAACUGGGAGAGGUCGUUGGAAACUGAGAGGCUUGAGGCGAUGAGAGGGGUGCGGAAUUCCCGGUGUAGUGGUGGAAUGCGUAGAUAUCGGGAGGAACACCAGUGGCGAAAGCGGCGCCCUAGCAUCGGCCUGACGCUCAUGUGCGAAAGCGUGGGGAGCGAACGGG
rnacentral:rRNA from 1 species